rnacentral:rRNA from 1 species
UAGGGAAUCUUCGGCAAUGGACGAAAGUCUGACCGAGCAACGCCGCGUGAGUGAAGAAGGUUUUCGGAUCGUAAAACUCUGUUGUUAGAGAAGAACAAGGACGUUAGUAACUGAACGUCCCCUGACGGUAUCUAACCAGAAAGCCACGGCUAACUACGUGCCAGCAGCCGCGGUAAUACGUAGGUGGCAAGCGUUGUCCGGAUUUAUUGGGCGUAAAGCGAGCGCAGGCGGUUUCUUAAGUCUGAUGUGAAAGCCCCCGGCUCAACCGGGGAGGGUCAUUGGAAACUGGGAGACUUGAGUGCAGAAGAGGAGAGUGGAAUUCCAUGUGUAGCGGUGAAAUGCGUAGAUAUAUGGGGGAACACCAGUGGCGAAGGCGGCUCUCUGGUCUGAAACUGACGCUGAGGCUCGAAAGCGUGGGGAGCAAACAGG